GAAUGUGAACAGAAGGAAUACGUGUGUCCUCCAGGACUGAACUUAAAAAUUUGCCACACCUACUCCCCAAGAUUCCUUCUCCAACUGCCCAGUAGAUAGAUAUACUCAAGGUGACAUUGAAGAUGAGAGUGAUCUGUUGGUCCAGGUCAUGAGUGGCUGGUGGAACUUCAGCCCUGAUCACCCUCAUCCUUAGACAACACGUGAGAAAGGAACUGCUCCUGACUUCAAGCAGUAGAAUGAGGCCAACCUGCAAAAUUGACCUGUCAUGCCCUGCCUCACCAUCUUAUCCAGUCCUGGACUCAACCAGCUGAACUAAUCCCUAAACCACCAAGUCUACCUUAGAA
rnacentral:lncRNA from 1 species